rnacentral:misc_RNA from 1 species
AAUUCUCAACCUUGAAAGGCUUGUCUUUUCAAUGGCUUGGAUGUGAGGGUUUUGCUGGCUUCCUUCAGUGGAUGGUCUGCUCCCUUUAAAUGCAUUAGUGGGAUCCUUUGUGGACGGUCACUUGGUGUGAUAAUUAUCUACGCCGUUUGUACUGUGAAGCAAAACUUGUGGGAACCUGCUUAUAACUGUCUGUAAUGGACAAUUUUGAAC